AUUGAACGCUGGCGGCAGGCCUAACACAUGCAAGUCGAGCGGAUGAAGGGAGCUUGCUCCUGGAUUCAGCGGCGGACGGGUGAGUAAUGCCUAGGAAUCUGCCUGGUAGUGGGGGAUAACGUCCGGAAACGGGCGCUAAUACCGCAUACGACCUGAGGGAGAAAGUGGGGGAUCUUCGGACCUCACGCUAUCAGAUGAGCCUAGGUCGGAUUAGCUAGUUGGUGGGGUAAAGGCCUACCAAGGCGACGAUCCGUAACUGGUCUGAGUGGAUGAUCAGUCACACUGGAACUGAGACACGGUCCAGACUCCUACGGGAGGCAGCAGUGGGGAAUAUUGGACAAUGGGCGAAAGCCUGAUCCAGCCAUGCCGCGUGUGUGAAGAAGGUCUUCGGAUUGUAAAGCACUUUAAGUUGGGAGGAAGGGCAGUAAGUUAAUACCUUGCUGUUUUGACGUUACCAACAGAAUAAGCACCGGCUAACUUCGUG
rnacentral:rRNA from 1 species